rnacentral:rRNA from 1 species
UACGGGGGGAGCAAGCGUUGUUCGGAUUUACUGGGCGUAAAGGGCGCGUAGGCGGCGCAACAAGUCACUUGUGAAAUCUCCGGGCUUAACCCGGAGCGGCCAAGUGAUACUGUCGUGCUAGAGUGCGGAAGGGGCUACUGGAAUUCUCGGUGUAGCGGUGAAAUGCGUAGAUAUCUAGAGGAACGCCAAAGGUGAAGACAGGCGACUGGGCCGAGUCUGACGCUGAGGCACGAAAGCGUGGGUAGCGAACGGG